rnacentral:tRNA from 1 species
GACGCUACGGACUAAAAUCCGUUGGCUUUGUAGACCAUGAGGGUUCAAGUCCCUCUACCCCCA